rnacentral:rRNA from 1 species
UGGAUUAGUGGCGAACGGGUGAGUAACACGUGGGCAAUCUGCCCUUCACUCUGGGACAAGCCCUGGAAACGGGGUCUAAUACCGGAUACCACUCCUGCCCGCAUGGGUGGGGGUUGAAAGCUCCGGCGGUGAAGGAUGAGCCCGCGGCCUAUCAGCUUGUUGGUGGGGUAAUGGCCCACCAAGGCGACGACGGGUAGCCGGCCUGAGAGGGCGACCGGCCACACUGGGACUGAGACACGGCCCAGACUCCUACGGGAGGCAGCAGUGGGGAAUAUUGCACAAUGGGCGAAAGCCUGAUGCAGCGACGCCGCGUGAGGGAUGACGGCCUUCGGGUUGUAAACCUCUUUCAGCAGGGAAGAAGCGAAAGUGACGGUACCUGCAGAAGAAGCGCCGGCUAACUACGUGCCAGCAGCCGCGGUAAUACGUAGGGCGCAAGCGUUGUCCGGAAUUAUUGGGCGUAAAGAGCUCGUAGGCGGCUUGUCACGUCGGAUGUGAAAGCCCGAGGCUUAACCUCGGGUCUGCAUUCGAUACGGGCUAGCUAGAGUGUGGUAGGGGAGAUCGGAAUUCCUGGUGUAGCGGUGAAAUGCGCAGAUAUCAGGAGGAACACCGGUGGCGAAGGCGGAUCUCUGGGCCAUUACUGACGCUGAGGAGCGAAAGCGUGGGGAGCGAACAGGAUUAGAUACCCUGGUAGUCCACGCCGUAAACGUUGGGAACUAGGUGUUGGCGACAUUCCACGUCGUCGGUGCCGCAG